rnacentral:lncRNA from 1 species
CUAUUAAAAUCUUUUGCCUCAAUCAAACUAAUUGACAAUCUUAUUGAUGCCAAGUAGUACCAUGUUAAGCUGCUCACUAAGCAAAAGAAUACCAAAAAAAAUUAAGAUUGCACAACCAUACAUGAGGCUUCCAACUAUGUACAAUAAGAAAAAAAUAAGACAUCUUAACUAUGGCUCCUCUACAAUAGCUUGUUGCAUUAUAGAUCUAUACAUUUUACUUAGUAGCUUAGUUCAAAGAUGACUUCUAAUCAUCCACGGAACCAUCCAAGCUCCUACUUCCUCACAAAGUCAUAGA